rnacentral:RNase_P_RNA from 1 species
GGCCUGAGAAGCUUGUGUUAUGCGCAGUCAUACGGGGACCAUUUGGUCAGUCCAUCAAAUUAGCGCGUGGGAAGGUCGGAGGUGCCGCGCGCCCUCGAGGGAAAUCCGCCACAUGGCGGUGCGGUUGGGGACCAGAAACCGGUACUGGGCUUGGCUGUUUCCGAUGAACGUUCUGCGUGAUCUGGAUAUAACUGCCUUGUCUGGAUGAAAUCUCAAUGGGCACGUAAACAACUCUAAGAUCAAUAUGCAAGGAGGAAGUUUGCUUUCUCUACUCAAUUCCGACUACUAGCUUGGGCA